rfam:Hordeum vulgare subsp. vulgare, WGS project CAJW01000000 data, contig: morex_contig_1559959
AUAGUACUCCCUCCGUCCCAAAAUUAUUCUCUUAAGCUUGUUUAGAAAUUGUUGAAUCUAAAUACUAAAACGUGACUAGAUAUAUCCAUAUCUAGAAAAAAUGUAAGACAAAAUUUUUGGGACGGAGGGAGUAUCAU